UUGCUGGAACUACCGGGAAUUCAACCGCAGGCUAGGCGCCGGAACUGGUCCGCCCUUUAUUUAUUAUUUACCGCAACAAAAUCCCGGUCCUGAGCCUGGAGUGGCCAGAAGAAAGACACCCAAGCACCCACCAAGGACGCCACUGCAUAAACAUCUGCAAGAAAAACUAUUGGGAGCUGGAGAGACGUCUCAGCGGUUAGAGCACCGACUAGACCAGCAGUCCUGAGUUCAAUUCCCAGCAACCACAUGGUGGUUCACAACCAUCUGUAAUGAGACCCAAUGCUCUCUUCUGGUGUGUCUGAAGACAGCGACAGUGUUCCCACAUACAUGAAAUAAAUAAAUAAAUCUUAAAAAAAAAAA